GCCUGGGUGCGAGCCUGGGCGCGAGCCUGGGCGUGAGCCCCAAGCCAGAGGUACAGCGUUAGCAGCGUAAUUGUACCUUUUACAGACAACAGUGGCUCCAAGCCAAGCACGAGCGCAUCUGAGUGGUUACUUAAUGCGCCUCACGUGGCGUGGUUACGUAACGUGUGGAGUUGUGCAUCUGCACUCCAAACCUGCUGAGACACGCCGCGUCAGAAAGUCGCCUCGGCCUUCACUCCUGAACCAAUCCUGAUUGCCGGAGUCACAGGACACAUGCCUACAUUGGUGACCAAGGGCAGGACAAAGGGGCUAAAGCCUCAUGACUGACAGCCCCAGUGAGGCCACACAAUGGGGGAAGGGGAAAUAAGGAGAAUAAGGAUGCCAUGCAGAGAAAGGCAACAUACCCACUGAGCUGCAUGUGGUUGACUGUUCACUUCCACUGGGUGCCAAAGGAUAUGAAAGCAGGGAGAGUUGAACUGCGGUGCUACUGCCAGUAGCACUUAAACAGAAAGAAGAGAGAGGAAGAGAGGGAGGGAGGGAGAGUGAAUGUGCAACCUGUGUUCUCAUCUACAAAAUGAGGAUGGGGCUGAGGCAGGACAAUCACUUGAACCCAGGAGGCGGAGAUUGCAGUGAGCCGAGACUGCACCAUUGCACUCCAGCCUCGGCAACAAGAGCGAAGCUCUGUCUCAAAAAAAAAAAAAAAAAAGAAAUUCAAGAGUUUUAGUGGAACACACACACACGUGGACACCUCUGCAACCUUUGGGGAAUUGACUAGUCAUAAGGAAACAAUUCAUUUGCUUUUGUAAACUGUAACUAAGGGUAAAAUUCCCUAAUCUGCUACCGUGUCGCCAGGACACUUCUGACAAUAGGUGAAAAUGUCUAAUGAAAUGGCAAAUGAGCAGAAGGGCAGAACUUGUGCGUUCACUUUAAAUAAUGUUGUCUUUCUCUCCCUCUUUCUCUCUUUUGACCAUUUGAUUGAUGGAGACAGAGAAGAACAGGAGCAAGAAGCUAACGUUUAUCAAGCACCCUAAGCAAGUCACUUAACCUCAUUUGUAGUAUGGGCUUCAUGGAAGGCUGCCAGGUUUUGCAAACAAAGACACAGGAUAUGCACUUAAACUUGAAUUUGAGAUGAUGAGACAAUUUUAACAUAAGUGUGUCCAGUGCAAUAUUUGAGACAUACUUAUACUAAAAACCUUAAUAUAACCUACCCCAUAAUAAUCAUGAGGGAUAAAAAUUAUUAUUACCCAUAAAAAUCAUAAGAAUAAUCAUGAAGACUGAAUAACACAGAGAAUGUAAAGUACUCAUAGGUACCUGAUGAGUAAGUGGCAACACCGUUUAAUAAGUAAAUUCACCUGAAAAACACCUGGCUCCCUCAGCAUGUGGGGCUCUCUGCUCUUGCCUUGCCCCUAGAGAACUGGUUCUGUCCAUAGACCGUCCAUUGGUUCUCCUGUGAGAUGUCUUGCCUUGGCCAGAGGCAGCUUCCAUGCAGGAACUGUAACUGGAGAAAUGGCCCUUUCCAUAAAGCCACCCCCACUUGUGAGCAGUUGGAUGUGCCCACGGAAAGAAGGGGAAAGGAGUGGAAUCAGCCACUUUAAGGUAAUAAAAUUUACCCUCCCAGUCAGUCCUUCAUCUGUAAGCCUCCCACCUUCUAUCCCACAAGUUGGUAGCAAAUUGCCAAACCUGGAUGAUUCACUGGUCUCCUCUGGGGUCAUGACUAUCAGGUGCCAACCCAGAAAUGAGAGCUAAAUUCUAAGAGGAGAGAUCCUCUAAUUGGAACUCUGACUUUUCCAGCACUUCAACCUACCAUUCUCUGGGUUUCCAAAGAGUGAAGGAAGCCAUGUUGGUCUCUUCCUCCUCAAUCUGAAUAAAUGAUAAAAGAUCAUCAGGGACUAACUAGAAAAGAUAGAGAGCUAAUGUUUGGGAUGAAGCCAACCUGGAAUUAUAAAAACCACAUAUAUCUACAAUCCCUUGUCCCAAAAUCCAAACAGCUCCAAAAUCCGAAUUUUUGGCUUAUUUGUUUCUUUUUGUAUACUUGCAGCAAAUCCACUUGGCAGCAAAGCCUGACAGCAAAAACUGGCAUAGAACUAUUUGUAGUUUUAAUUUAUCCCACUCCAGAUACAUACUAAUGAAUCUGAUGCAGAAAUACUAUUGUUUGACUAUGAGGUGAUGAAUCAGAUCCCAAUGGGGUGUUGCGUAAUAUACAUUGUAUUGUGUAUCUCAUUACCUUUAUAAAAGCUGAAAAAUUCUUAAUAUCCAAACACUUCUUUUUUCUAAGAUUUCAGGUAAGGACAGUGAACCUGUAAUUUCUCACUUAUUUUUACUUAAUCUUUGCAAAAACCCAGGACAGGCAGUAUUAAAUUACCUAAGUCCACACAGGAAAUUAGUAGCAAAAAUGGAAUUAGAACCUAGGCAUAGUACACAACCAUCAUUUUCCCUGCUGGCCUUCCAUGCCCCUGUCUUUUUGUAACAGCGCCUCCGUUUUGCUUUAGAAAACUACCCGCAUCUCCCCUACUGCUUGCAGACUUGGUGGGCCCCACUUUCCCCUAGGCAAGGGAAGGGCACAUGCUCUAA
rnacentral:lncRNA from 1 species